GUCUACGGCCAUGCCACCCUGAAUAAGCCUGAUGUCUGAUCUCAGAAGCUAAGCAGGGUCAGGCCUGGUUAGUACUUGGAUAGGAGAUCACCUAGGAAGACCAGGUGCUAUAGGCA
rnacentral:rRNA from 1 species